GAUACCUUGGGAAGGUGCUUGUUGUUAUGGUCUGGGAUGCUGCCAGGUGGCUCUUGGUCAAGGCAUCCUCUGGAAGCUGUGCCCUCCUGCAUACCUGCCAGGAUGAUUGACUUCUCAGGGCAAGUGCUCAACCUGAUUCUGUGCUCUGCAACCCAUGCUGCAGCUCCUCAUGGUGCUUUCCAAGGGCUUAUGGCCAACUCACCUUUGAACCUGAAGUUAAUGUGCGUUGCCCUGUAGCUCCAGCUCUUCCUUGGCAUGCUGAGCCUCUGUGUCUCAACGAUCUCCCAUGUUCGGUGUUUGAAUGCUUGCACUGAUAGUCUCAAAAGCUGCCAAACCUGGGAAACUGUCUCGAACUGAUUAGCUUUCCCUGUCUGUACCUUUUAUGGCCACCAGGUUCUCAAGGGCUGCUGAAAGUCAGCAGAUGUUUGCUGAAAUGGGCUCCAGAUCUGUUCCUACUCUUGUUAUUCACAAUCUGUUUAGGAGCUGCUGUAACCUAAUACUUGCAACGGUGCUUGCAAGCGUAGUGGAGGGACGUUCACACAUACCAUUGGAUAGAAUCAUUUUCUUUAUCAAGUAAAUCCUUUUUGGUCUUAUUUCGAGCUCUAAUCCUGUCCUCCAGCAUGCAUGUAGUCUCUCCUAGCUUCUUUAACAAGCAUCCUCUGCAUGGAAACAUCUGGGUCACCAACAGAAAAUGGAACACAUCCAACUGAAUAAUACUGGGCAGAGACGUGCUUUGGAGAAGCCUCCUUCAUGUCCUUCCUCCCUGACAAUGAGUCAUCUACAGCUCCUCUGCAAACCCAGCUUUCCAGCAAGCUUUGUGCUGCUGUUGUACUCCACUCUUCCUGAAUAUUAUUCAUGUGUGCACAUUUGCUUGCAAGGGCUUAUUGAAAGAUUGAGAAAAGCCACACUAAAAUCAGUGCACAUGGCAUCAUCUGCUGCUACUGCUUACCUUGCUGCUUCUAACAGCUGUGGUAAUCAGUAAAAAUGAGACACAAAGACUUGAAUGUGAAAAAGUCCAUAGUAGACUCUUUUUCCUAAACAGCAUCUGCAUCAAAGUGUUACAAAAAUGAGUGCAACUUUGAAAAGAGAAUUCCUACAGAAUGCCUCUC
ensembl:lncRNA